AUUACCCGCUGAACUUAAGCAUAUCAAUAAGCGGAGGAAAAGAAACCAACAGGGAUUGCCCCAGUAACGGCGAGUGAAGCGGCAGCAGCUCAAAUUUGAAAUCUGGCGCCCCCCCGGGGCGCCCGAGUUGUACUUUGCAGAGGAUGCUUUUGGCGAGGCGCCUUCCGAGUUCCCUGGAACGGGACGCCGCAGAGGGUGAGAGCCCCGUCUGGUCGGCCGCCGAGCCUCUGUACAGCUCCUUCGACGAGUCGAGUAGUUUGGGAAUGCUGCUCUAAAUGGGAGGUAUAUGUCUUCUAAAGCUAAAUACCGGCCAGAGACCGAUAGCGCACAAGUAGAGUGAUCGAAAGAUGAAAAGCACCUUGAAAAGGGGGUUAAACAGUACGUGAAAUUGUUGAAAGGGAAGCGCUCGCGACCAGACGUGGCCCUGGCGGAUCAUCCGGCGGUCCCCCGCCGGUGCACUCCGCCAGGGCCAGGCCAGCAUCAGCUCGCGCCGGGGGACAAAGGCGGCGGGAACGUGGCUCCCCAGGGAGUGUUAUAGCCCGCCGCGCAAUGCCCUGGGGCGGGCUGAGGUUCGCGCGUCCGCACGGAUGCUGGCGUAAUGGUCGCCAGCGGCCCGUCUUGAAACACGGACCAAGGAGUCGUCUUCGUAUGCGAGUGUUCGGGUGGCAAACCCCUACGCGGAAUGAAAGUGAACGCGGGUGAGAGCUUCGGCG
rnacentral:rRNA from 1 species